CAGCCGCCGCGGUAAUACCAGCCCCGCGAGUGGUCGGGACGGUUAUUGGGCCUAAAGCGCCCGUAGCCGGCCCGGCAAGUCCCUCCUUAAAGCCUCGGGCCCAACCCGAGGACGGGGGGGAUACUGCCGGGCUAGGGGGCGGGAGAGGCCGGCGGUACUCCCGGGGUAGGGGCGAAAUCCGUUAAUCCCGGGAGGACCACCAGUGGCGAAGGCGGCCGGCUGGAACGCGCCCGACGGUGAGGGGCGAAAGCCGGGGGAGCGAACCGGAUUAGAUACCCGGGUAGUCCCGGCUGUAAACGAUGCGGGCUAGCUGUGGGGCGGGCUUAGAGCCCGCCCAGUGGCGCAGGGAAGCCGUUAAGCCCGCCGCCUGGGGAGUACGGCCGCAAGGCUGAAACUUAAAGGAAUUGGCGGG
rnacentral:rRNA from 1 species